GUUUUUGUUCUGUAAGCAAGAAAUUCCUGGUUGGAUUACAUAACAGUUACUGUGUUUUUCCUCUCAUCAGGGCCAUGGAAAGAAGGGUGUUCCCUCUGGAUCCAUCUUGAUCCUGUCAAGAUUCCUAGAAGAAAAGCCUGCAAAAGGCUGUGCUUCCCAGAAGCUUCUCCCUUGGUAUCUCACAUGCAGAUUCCACAGUUCGUUAAAAUUUCUACUUUAAUGUUCCUACUGGCUUAGUCAGUGCUUUCUGCUUCACGUAAACAAAUCUCACUGCCUAUAUCUCCCUGGAGACCCCCAUGUCUCCAGAUUUCAGGAUGGUGGUUUGCCUUGAGACCUCAGUUCUCUGAUGGGUCCAAUAAAAGUUGUUGAUUUUCA
rnacentral:lncRNA from 1 species